rnacentral:rRNA from 1 species
GACGAACGACUGGCGGCGUGCUUAACACAUGCAAGUCGAACGGUGACGAGGAGCUUGCUCCUCUGAUCAGUGGCGAACGGGUGAGUAACACGUGAGCAACCUGCCCCAGACUCUGGGAUAACAGUUGGAAACAGCUGCUAAUACCGGAUACGAGACGGAGAGGCAUCUCUACCGUCUGGAAAGUUUUCGGUCUGGGAUGGACUCGCGGCCUAUCAGCUAGUUGGUGAGGUAAUGGCUCACCAAGGCGACGACGGGUAGCCGGCCUGAGAGGGCGACCGGCCACACUGGGACUGAGACACGGCCCAGACUCCUACGGGAGGCAGCAGUGGGGAAUAUUGCACAAUGGGCGAAAGCCUGAUGCAGCGACGCCGCGUGAGGGAUGACGGCCUUCGGGUUGUAAACCUCUUUCAGCAGGGAAGAAGCGAAAGUGACGGUACCUGCAGAAGAAGCACCGGCUAACUACGUG